CCUACGGGAGGCAGCAGUGGGGAAUAUUGGGCAAUGGGCGCAAGCCUGACCCAGCAACGCCGCGUGAAGGAAGAAGGCUUUCGGGUUGUAAACUUCUUUUGUCAGGGACGAGUAGAAGACGGUACCUGACGAAUAAGCCACGGCUAACUACGUGCCAGCAGCCGCGGUAAUACGUAGGUGGCAAGCGUUGUCCGCAUUUACUGGGUGUAAAGGGCGUGUAGCCGGGUUGACAAGUCAGAUGUGAAAUCCUGCGGCUUAACCGCAGAACUGCAUUUGAAACUGUUGAUCUUGAGUACUGGAGAGGCAGACGGAAUUCCUAGUGUAGCGGUGAAAUGCGUAGAUAGUAGGAGGAACACCAGUGGCGAAGGCGGUCUGCUGGACAGCAACUGACGGUGAGGCGCGAAAGCGUGGGGAGCAAACAGGAUUAGAUACCCCAGUAGUC
rnacentral:rRNA from 1 species